rnacentral:piRNA from 1 species
UGGGCAACAUAGUUAGACCUUGUCUCUAU